AAAAUGAGAAGUACAUGCU
rnacentral:snRNA from 1 species